AAAUUCUUGCUUGCAGAUUCUGAUGUGCCAAUAAGCUGCAACAUUUUUCUGGGAAGUGGUCAUGCAACCUGAAUUUAGGAGAUGCCGCUCUGAAUCCAAUAUUUCAGGAGGGUGAAGAUUCAAGUGAUCACUUGAGUGUCCCUUACGGCAAUGUGGUUGGAGUGUGGGUGAGAGUGGAUGUUCUGAAUUCAGCAGCUGUUUCAUCCAUAAGGUCCCUCAGGAGGCACAAGAAGAGGCGCCUCAGCACCUGGCCAAAGAGACUUAGUCAACAGGCAGUCAUCGGGAUGAUUGGAGCCUUAAGGCAGGUGAUUAUUACAAGGGAUUCCACAGCAGCAGCUUGUGUGGUCCCAAAGGUGUAUCGAAGAUUAUCAGCGCCAUAUGAAAGAGGUAGAUCUGAUUGAUCUGAUAAUGGGGUAUUACAUGUCGACCACCGAUCAAGCAAGUAAUGGCCUUGUGACCCAUCACAUGCAGAUUACAGCCGCCCACAAUUCCUACAUAAUAUCACAGGACAGCAAUCCUGAGGCCAUACAGCGGGAGUGGCCCAAGUACCAGGACUUCAUUGAAGACCUUGUAAAGGACCUGAUCGGGAAUUACAAGGCAUCUCGUGCAGCACCUUUAUCUUACAUUGAAAAAUGGCACCCGUUUCUCGUGCACAACAUGACAUUCAGUGGAGAUUGUACCGGGUACAUAAAGUGGUGCCAGGAAUGUUGCUUAAAAUCAUCCGUCUAUAUACAAGCUUGGUGCUUGACAUGAAAUGUGCCGGUGUUCAAGGACUUUGUGGCCUGACACGUUUAACACUUCUAAAGCCUGUAAUAGCGCUGAUAUGUACAUUUCAUUGAGUGUCCAACUUUGGACAGAAAUUAUAAUCUGUUUAAUGAAUUUCAGAUUUAGGCAUAAAAAAAGUUCUAAACUAAGAAAUAUAUAAAAGAAAAAUUUAUAUGCUUUCCUUAGGUUUGUAGAGAUUUAUCAGUGAAAUGUGAUAUUUCACAGUUUCAAACAGUGAAACAACAUUUUGAUAUUUUCACUUUUUUGUUCUCACUUCCCAAUCAAACACCAGUGUGCACAGGACUGGGACACUAGUUCCAUGAAGUCUUUUCCGAAAUGACAUCUCCUUCAAAUACAAUUUGGCACUUAUUUUUCUAGAACCUACAAUAAAAUGUCAUUUUAAUAUCCUUUUAGGCAUAUUAUAAAAAAUUACGCCACUAGUGAAAUAUAACUUUGAUGCUCACUCAGUGGAUUAUAUGUUACGACCAUACACUAAAGUUAUCACACAAUUUAAGUCUAUUGAUAAGAUGUUCUAACUUUAUUUUGUAUAAAAAAAAAUAUUUAAACAUGAAAAAUUAUUCUUUUCAUAGACAUGAUUUAUUAACAUGCAUUGCAGAAAUUUAUUACCAGGAAUAAUUUAAAAUUACAGGUACAUUCGAUCAUUUUGAUACUGUUUAUAAGUAGAAUGCAUACUUCAUAUACUGAUGUAUGGAGAGAAUAACAAUAAAAACACUGUACUUUUAAUGAAAUUUACUUUCUUUUAGAUUGAGAGGUCAUACCCGGUAAAAUUUGGUUAUUAUUUAAAUAUUAUUGAAAGUUAUUCAGACUUCAUUUCCUGUUCAGACACAAUUAAAACCAAAUGUUUUUACGAAAUCUACAAAUACUACACUUUCCUCUUAAAGGGACUGUACACCAGAUUGGCACCAAAAAACGUUUUUUUUUAUUUUUUGGUAAAUUGUCAAAUGUAUAAAUUCCAAUAAGUAAAUUGUAAAUAACCUGUAAAUAAAAUGUACAUACGGGAAACAUGGUCAGAUUUCCUUUUCAAAUAUACGUAUUAGUUUAUGAGGUUUUAUAACAAAAAAAAUAAUUCAACUGCCAGAUGGCUUAUCAGUUAUUUUAAAAAGGCCCGUAUAUUUAAGGUAACUAUCAUAUCUUGAUGGGUCUCUUAAUGGGUCUCGGAAGGAAAUGGCUUAAAAACUGAAAUUGUUUUGGUUUUUUAAAUGUAUAUUUUACCGAUCACUGCAUCUUUGUUAUGCUGUAAUUUUGUUUAGAGUUAUUUCUAUGAGUUUGGCUUUGAGAAUGCAUUGAAUGUAUGAUUCAUUGUCCUUCACACUGUUGUGUCUAUUUCAAAUAUAAAAUUUUGUUCAGUGACUUGCUUCAUUUUUAUCGUUGUAUAUAAGUUUUAUAAUUAUGCUAGUAGCGGUAUGAUAACUAACUUAUUUCUUUUAAGCUUUGAUUUUGAAAUGUUACAGUAAGCUGUUUAGUGUGCUGUUUGUUAUAACUUAAAAACCUUUUAUUUACACUCAAGUUCAUGAUUUUGAAAAAAAGCUGUUGAUUUUCAUAUAGAAAUAUGGUGGAUAUUUAGAAAUAUUUUGUAUGAUUUUCUUUUUAACCAUUUCUUUUCAUUUAUUUUACCCA